GUACAACAUUGCCAAAUGUCAUGCCGAAAACAGGAAAGCUUUCCUGGGCCCUGGAUGUAAAGGCCAGGGAGCAACGCAAGGAGAAGUCUGCAAGGAAAAUUACAGCAACACAGAAGCCUGUGCUGGCCUGGUGCAAUCCCUUCUGCAGUUCUUACAGGAAGCAAAAGAAAUAGCAGUCCAGCAGUGGGCCUGGCCUCCACGCCACACCUCCUUCCACGUCUGCAGUUGGAGCAGGAAGGGCAGUGGUGGGGCCGACUCCCUGACAGGGAUCAGAACAGUACAUUUCAAGAACAAAGCCUGUGCCGUUUACCUGCAGAUCAAAGUUGGCUCUUAAUAAGAUGUGUGUCGGAGGGGGCAGAGAGAGGACUGUUUCCCUUUAUUCCAUUAAAAAGGGAUUAUGAGGUGACUGACCAGCAUCAUGAAAAUAUGCUGCAAUAUCCUCAUCUUAAAAAGUGAAGAUAAUAAAGAAAAAAAAAACUUUUUAUGGAUCCAAGGCUGGUGUUCAGCUGGAACACACCAGAACUACCAUCCUGACUGUUAAAAUAUUGAAACACUUCUGGACCUGGUGAUGAGAAAGACUCAAGACAAUAAUGAGCUGCACCAUCUUUCACCUCCUAUGCUCAUCCCUGAUGCCCGCCUCCAUCACAGGAAGAUCUGUCUCUUGACGAAUAUCUGUCGAUUAGUCCCUGAAGAGCGAGACAAAGAAGGCUGAGGUAGAAGGCCCUGCAUACAUAAAGGAUCGUGAGAAGUUCAAACAGGACACAUGGAGAACCUGAAGGAUGGGGCUCUAACAGUCCCAGGUGGAUCUCUGGCUCCUCAGCGAUGGACAUUUAGCCAUUGCCGGUGAAGGUGUAGGAUAGUGACUGGGCCCUGGGGCAGCCAACCUGGUUCCACUGCACAGGUCUUUGGUGCGCUGGGGUUCCCAGGGACUGUGCUUGACUGUGUCCCCCGGUCGCCUGCCCCAAUGGCCAGGGAGUCCUUCUUGCUGUGUCAGCAAGGAGAUCUCUGACUCUCCCUUUAACACCAGGCUGCCUCAACACCAUGGCAUCAGAGCAUCCUGAAAGAUCCCAAGAGCUAUUCCAGUUCAUCCCUCUGCUUCUGAAAAGGAUUUUUCCUAAGAAAAGAUUUCUCCAACUCCUUCAGCCUCCCGUUCCAAUGUCAUAUCAUCCUUUCCGUGAAGAUACACUUACUCAAAUCUGAUAGAAACCCUUCAUGCUAAAAAGGCCUGAAUUCUCAGUUGUGUUUUCAUGUGUGGUGGAACAGUAGUCAGCUCUGAGGAUACUGCCUCAGACACCUGUGACUCAGCCACACUUAGUCCCCGGAGUCAGCAUUUGCCUCCUGGCUCUACUCCUUGUGAGCAUAGUGAUAUUAGGCUAAUUACUCAAACUUUCAGGUUCUCACCUGUAAAAUGGGCACAAUGAUAGGCCUUACGUGUGAAUUCAUUUUGAGGAUUAAAUAUAGAUAAAAGGCUUCAUACAGUGCCUAGCUCAUCAUAAAUGCUUACCAAAUUUUAGCUUAAAAAAUAAAGUGAAAAAAAUGCCUAAUUUCAUCUGCAUCUGAGGUUAAUUUGUACACAAUUUAGAGACUAACAAACCUCUGGUCAACAUUGCCAGGGAGAACCAAAAAAAGCAAAUGCCUAAUAGUAAUUUAAAAAAAGCAAAUAGUAAUUACACUUUUAGUUUUCUUAUUUUCUACCACUUUGCAGAAGAGUAGAACAUUCACUCUUAAGUGGCGGUUAUAUAUCAGUUAUAAAAGUGUUAAAUCCGUGAAGGCAAAGAAAAAAGAAGAAAGAGACAGGAACCGUCCUGCUGUUGCCAUGGUAACGAGGCAGGUUACCUGGACAAAGAUUUUGGAAAUCUCUUAAAAGAAUAGCCAGAGAUGUUUCUGUCUAUUUUGGGAAGGACAAAGUCUUCCUUUAUCCUCCGCUAAAGACACACAACCACUUGUUUGCUGAAUAUCUCCCAAUUAACUCAGGGCUUGAUCUGAGAGGAGGCAGGAUGUCAUGAGCAGGCAGGUGGCGGAAUGGAAAGGAUCUUGGCAGGGGGCUGCAAGGUAAAGGCAAAUAUCAGUGGAAAAUGCAAGAUCAAACUGCCCAGGAUGGCUAUUGUUUCAUUUAAAAUGUCCAAAGAGCGUUCAUUAAAACAUCAUUCUCACACAGGAAGACCCCCAACUCGUACAGAUUAAGUUUACAAGAAAUUGAAUCCUUAACCAAUAACACUUCCAUUUUUAUUAACAUUACUGACACGAAGUGAUUAAAAACUCUGGUGGGCAAGACUUUCUCUGAAAGUUAUUAUUUAUAUGUAAAGGAAUAAAGAGC
rnacentral:lncRNA from 1 species